CGGCUGCUCCAGCAUCCAGAGCAAGGAAGAGGCCGGAGCGGCGCGUGUCUCGCUGCCGGGUCGGGCCGCCGAGAGCUCCCGGGCUCCGUGACUCCGGCGUAUUGCUGAACGUCAGGGAAGAUUGGCUGCAACCUGGGGGAUAAAUAAAGAAUGUGAUUGUGACCAUCAUAAAAUAUCAGGGUUGGAAGGCGUUUAUUGGACAUUUGAAUUCAGAUGGCAAGAGUGAAAUAUCAGCAGACACAGGUGCACAGAGUCAUGAAAGGGGUUGUACAGCCCCUGUUGCAGCUGGCACCACAGGGCAAGGACACCUAUUGAAUUCAAUGACUCUUCUCUGAAUGCUCUCUCCAAUUUAUCAAUAUGCUUCAGAAAAUCAAAUUAUUUCAAGAUGGAUAAAGGACCAUAACUGAGGAAAAAUUAACACCUCGUAGGAUGCUAGACAAAGACCUAAAGAAACAUUUCUCUCUCACCUCAUAUGGAAUCAGACCUCCCUAAUGAAAUCCUGAGAUGCAAUCCUCUUGCUUUCAUGUCAAGAAUGAAUAUUAUCCUAUCAUCAACUAGACUACUGAAAGGUUCUCUCCCUUCCAGAGAGGGACUUAGAAUUUGAAAACAAGCACAAAAAUGGGAGCCUGCCUUAGCCCCGCUGCGCCAUGGGGCUUGCAAUCCCGCGGGCGGGAUCCAAAGCCCUGACGGGCCGGAUCCGGCCUGUCGUUUGCCCACCCCUGAACUAGAAGCUCCUUUGAAUAAAGCUAAAAGUGUGAAAGGACAAAUUCUUUUCCUCUGUUACACAGGUAUAAGUCCAGAGUAACUCCACGCACUUCAGUGGAGCUAGAAGUGACUCGCAUCACUUCAGAGCAGAAAAAUGUGUAUGAUUUGCAGACAUAUCUUAAUGCUUGAAAAAGGGGAGGCUCCAGUCAUAUUAAGAUGUGAAGGUUGCCAAGUUUGUUUGUUCCCCCCUUACAAAUGGGAACUUUCCCGUUAUUUCCAUUGGGUGCAGCUCACCAAAGCCAAAGUGAUUCUGAUGACAUCACCCAUGAAACUACAGCCUGAGUUUAUAUUAACUAUAUUAGAACCCAUAAAGUCUCACUUUGGAAAUAAAAAAAAAAAGCCCUUGAAACCAGCAGGAGCCUCAUAUAUGCUUACAAGGACAGAAUUUUAAAUGAAUACAGUGAUUUAAAUUCUCUUCCAGGGAAAGAGUUUUGUUCGUUACUUUGUAUUGUUAAGGAACAAUGAUGGAUCACGACCUCUUCUUUUGGAGAACAUAAAAUACUUGCUGGAACAUCACAAGUCACUUACCAAAAAAUUGAGGGCCUCCAAUAAUACAGCAUGAUUUAAAAAGUUAAAAUUACCUCUGAUGAGCAAUGAAUGGAAAUGUACAGAGUACGGAAGAUAACUUGAGGUGCAAUUCCAGGAUCAAGAACCUGGGAUUAGCAUUUGUUUUUUGACUUUACAGUACAGUGGUGCUAACCUUGAUUUUUGGGGGUGGAGGGAGCAGGGUUAAAUUCUUAGAGUCCACUCUUGUCAGUGCUCGGCUUUUUAUUGCAUUAUGUUAAAAUGGUAUUUACAAGAUGAAUAAAUAAAUGACUCCCACCUCUUCCCUGCC